rnacentral:pre_miRNA from 1 species
CUAGGAAUCCCCUAGGAAUCUUGUUAAAAUGCAGUUCUUGAUUCAAUAGAUCUGGAAUGGGGACCAAAAAGUUUGCAUUUCUAACAAUUAUCCCAGGUGACACAGAC